rnacentral:lncRNA from 1 species
AUAAGAACGCAGACGAUUAAAGUGUAAUCUUGAAUGGUUAAACUGUCUGAUUUAUUUUUCUCAGCUACUUAAUAUUUGCUAGAUAAAAUGAAUUGUAAUAGCAUAGAUUAAGUAUUUGAAUGAGAACUACAUCAAUUCUGACAAAAAAUGCAUUAUGAUUGGCAAGACGCGUUCAAAUAUGAAUUUCUGUUUCUUUCCACG